CCUACGGGAGGCAGCAGUGGGGAAUAUUGGACAAUGGGGGCAACCCUGAUCCAGCCAUGUCGCGUGUGUGAAGAAGGCCCUCGGGUUGUAAAGCACUUUCAGUGAGGAAGAACGCCUGGUGGUUAAUACCCAUCAGGAAAGACAUCACUCACAGAAGAAGCACCGGCUAACUCCGUGCCAGCAGCCGCGGUAAUACGGAGGGUGCGAGCGUUAAUCGGAAUUACUGGGCGUAAAGCGCGCGUAGGUGGCUUGAUAAGCCGGUUGUGAAAGCCCCGGGCUCAACCUGGGAACGGCAUCCGGAACUGUCAAGCUAGAGUGCAGGAGAGGAAGGUAGAAUUCCCGGUGUAGCGGUGAAAUGCGUAGAGAUCGGGAGGAAUACCAGUGGCGAAGGCGGCCUUCUGGACUGACACUGACACUGAGGUGCGAAAGCGUGGGUAGCAAACAGGAUUAGAUACCCGAGUAGUC
rnacentral:rRNA from 1 species